CCACACACCACCAUGCCUGUAGACUUCAGCGGGACAUGGGUGCUGGAAACGAAUGACAAGUUUGAGGAUUACAUGAAAGUACUGAACAUUGACUUUGCCACACGUAAGAUUGCCAUCCAUCUUUCUCAAACCAAGGUCUUUAUCCAAGAUGGGGACAAAUUUGUGAUUAAGACCCUCAGCACCUUUCGGAACUAUGAGAUGAGCUUUACUAUUGGAGAGAAGAUUGACGAGUACACUAAAGGUCUAGACAACAGGAGAGUAAAAACCCUGGUAAUCUGGGAGGGUGACACACUGGUAUGCACACAGAAGGGUGACAAGGCCAACCGUGGAUGGACGCACUGGCUGGAGGAAGAUAAACUGCACUUGGACCUGUUUUGUGAAGGUGUUGUUUGCCAUCAGGUGUUCAGGAAAAAGGAUUAGUGCUCACAUUCUGCGCACUCUGAGGGUUAUCAAGGUUCUGUCACAAACAAACUGCCACUCCGACAGAGGUUUGGAGCUCAGCGGCAGGUACUGUUACCUGCUCAGCACCCGUGAUGCUGAUCUGUGGCUUGCUGGGGACCAUCACCAUCACCACUGCCUUUAUGUCUGGGAUGGAGAUACACGGGUCCUCACCGAAACAUCUGGAACACAUAAGCAGGAAAGAAACACACUUUAGAGACUUUAAAAUGAAUAAACACACUUUUGAGACCUGCCUUGACAUAUUUAUUAUUCUAAAUUACAUAGUAUUACUAUUAGUAUUUGUUUUAGUAUUUUAAAUGACAGUUAACAAAAUUGUCUGUUUUUUUAUCAUAAAUAUCUGAAAGCUGUAAUUUCCAACAAUUGCUCUACCUAAACACUUGUCGUGUCCUUUUAUCCUUUUUGCUGUGAUGGGUUGUUUUGCACUCACUGAUCCUUUAAUUUUAUCCCUUUUUUGUUGUUUUUUGCACUCACUGAAUUGUAGUAGAUACACGUAGCGUCCGCAGACCAGGAGUAGGGAACUGCCUGGAGUUGAUGUAGGACACCUUCGCCACAGCUGUGUUAAUGUUCUCCAGAUCUUCACUUUCCAUCACCAGCACUGACUGAGCCGGGUUGAAGUGAAACUGAGAAAGAUGAAGAGUGAUGGAUAAAGCAACUUAUCGAUCUUAUAUUAAAAAGAUUUUAAAUAUGUAUGUGGUUGGUAAUUUGCACCUUGAUGCCUUUACCCAGGCUCUCCAGUGAGUUGAUGUCCAGGCCUUCUUUGCAAGCUUGUAGGCAUGAGAUAACCUUCUGUGUCUCGAUCUUCCCGGGACGGAUGGUGAGUCCUGAGAGACUUCCACGAAAGAACUGUGUGAAGCGAGGACUCGUCAUCUCACCUCCUGCUUUACACACACACACACACACACACAUACACAAACAAACACACACACACACACAUUAUUUUCUCCAAUAAACAACAAUACUUGCAUCCGUCAACAGCACAUCACAGUGUAUUGUUAUUAAGUUGCCCAACACAACUAAUUUACACUAUAUGGCUAAAAGUAUGUGGUCACCUGACUAUUAGUUGUUGGACAUCUUAAUCAAAUCCAUCGGCAUCACCAGGGAGUUGGCUCUUUGGAGCUAUAACAACCUUCAUCCGGUUGUGUAGGCUUUCUGUGGGAAUUUUGGUCAUUCAGUCAAAACUGAUGUUAGACGAGCAGGCCUGACUCACAAUUAACAUUUCAAUUCAUCCCACAGAUCUUCAACAGGGUUGAGGUUAUAACUCUAAUGCAAAGGAACUUCAGUGAUCUGCACAAACUUCAAACCUUGUCUUUAUGAACCGAGCUUUGUGCACACUGAAAUAGAACAGAACUUUGACAAACUGAACUUACUAAUUCAUUAAAUGUUUGGCCAUAUAGUGUAUCUGAUCCAGCAUUUACAUUUUCUGCAUUUAUCCGUUUAGGGUUAAGGGCCUUGCUCAAGUGCUCAACAAUGGCAACCUGGCAGUGGUGUGACUUGAACCGACAACCCUCUGAUUACUAGUCCAGUACCUUAACCACUAUGCUACAACUGUCCUUUCCAGCAGAGAUUCAGUUUUGGUUCUGUAGUGUUCAAUGCAUUCAAAGUGAAAAUAAAAGUGCUAAUUUAA